rnacentral:rRNA from 1 species
UACGAAGGGUGCAAGCGUUACUCGGAAUUACUGGGCGUAAAGGGUGCGUAGGUGGUUUUUUAAGUCCGUUGUGAAAUCCCUGGGCUCAACCUGGGAAUGGCAGUGGAUACUGGAAAGCUAGAGUGCGGUAGAGGGUAGUGGAAUUCCCGGUGUAGCAGUGAAGUGCGUAGAGAUCGGGAGGAACACCAGUGGCGAAGGCGGCUACCUGGACCAGCACUGACACUGAGGCACGAAAGCGUGGGGAGCAAACAGG